UUGGAGGGCAAGUCUGGUGCCAGCAGCCGCGGUAAUUCCAGCUCCAAUAGCGUAUAUUAAAGUUGUUGCAGUUAAAAAGCUCGUAGUUGAAUUUCGGGGUCAGUAGGUUGGUCAUGCCACUGGUAUGUACUGGUCUCACUGAUUCCUCCUUCCUGAUGAGCCGUAAUGCCAUUAAUUUGGUGUUGCGAGGAAUCUGGACUGUUACUUUGAAAAAAUUAGAGUGUUUAAAGCAAGCUAACGCUUGAAUACAUUAGCAUGGAAUAAUGAGAUAGGACGUUCGAUCCUAUUUUGUUGGUUUCUAGGAUUGACGUAAUGAUUAAUAGGGAUAGUUGGGGGCAUUAGUAUUCAAUUGUCAGAGGUGAAAUUCUUGGAUUUAUUGAAGACUAACUACUGCGAAAGCAUUUGCCAAGGAUGUUUUCAUUAAUCAAGAACGAAAGUUAGGGGAUCGAAGACGAUCAGAUACCGUCGUAGUCUUAACCAUAAACUAUGCCGACUAGGGAUCGGAUGAUGUUAAUUUUUUAAUAACUCAUUCGGCGCCUUACGGGAAACCAAAGUGUUUGGGUUC
rnacentral:rRNA from 1 species